GCCUUCGUGGUUUAGUCGUCAGCACGCUCGACACGUAUUCGAGAGGUCCGUGGUUCGAAUCCCGGCGAGGACA
rnacentral:tRNA from 1 species